rnacentral:rRNA from 1 species
UCAGUCGACUCCUACGGGGACGGCAGCAGUGGGGGAAUAUUGCACAAUGGGCGCAAGCCUGAUGCAGCCAUGCCGCGUGUAUGAAGAAGGACCUUCGGGUUGUAAAGUACUUUCAGCAGUGAGGAAGGUGGAUAUGUUAAUAGCAUAUUCAUUUGACGUUAGCUGCAGAAGAAGCACCGGCUAACUCCGUGCCAGCAGCCGCGGUAAUACGGAGGGUGCGAGCGUUAAUCGGAAUUACUGGGCGUAAAGCGCAUGCAGGUGGUUUGUUAAGUCAGAUGUGAAAGACCCGGGGCUCAACCUCGGAAUUGCAUUUGAAACUGGCAAACUAGAGUACUGUAGAGGGGGGUAGGAAUUUCAGGUGUAGCGGUGAAAUGCGUAGAGAUCUGAAGGAAUACCGGUGGUGAAGGCGGCCCCCUGGACAGAUACUGACACUCAGAUGCGAAAGCGUGGGGAGCAAACAGGAUUAGAUACCCUGGUAG